rnacentral:rRNA from 1 species
UGCAGAGGUCCCAAGCGUUGUUCGGAUUCACUGGGCGUAAAGGGUGCGUAGGUGGCGGGGUAAGUCGGAUGUGAAAUCUCCGAGCUCAACUCGGAAAUGGCAUUGGAAACUACCUUGCUCGAGGGUUGGAGGGGGGACUGGAAUACUUGGUGUAGCAGUGAAAUGCGUAGAUAUCAAGUGGAACACCAGUGGCGAAGGCGAGUCCCUGGACAACUCCUGACACUGAGGCACGAAAGCUAGGGGAGCAAACGGG